CGUUACUGUUAAUAAAAGAGGCAUAAUCAAAGAAUUUUAAAAGAAGAAAACGAACAAGUCUAAAAUGUCUAGCGAUAGUGAUGAAUUAAUGUGCACGCCGCCGGAGAUAAUUGAAAAGAUAUGAAAUCGUCUACCAAAAAUUUAUGGAAUGGAAAAUAAAAAAUAAAGUAAAUUCGUUGUCAGAAAACGUAAUGUUGGCAUA